rnacentral:lncRNA from 1 species
CGACACUCUUUGUUUUUGUCUUUUCAUUCAUUAGCCUAGCAAUAUGUUGUAUACUUCAAGUUGUAUUCAAGUUAUUUCUAGUAAGAUGACUAUUAAAAGACUCUCUCAGUGAUUGAAUCCGAUUUGAAUAUGUCUUCACAGUUCAAACUAGAUCCAAGUUCUAAGCUCUCGGGCAUGUAAGUUUGAUCAUUUAAAAGUCCUUGGCCUCAAGGCAUAAAAAAGA